rnacentral:tRNA from 1 species
GCCUGGGUGGCUCAGUCGGUUGGGCAUCCGACUUCAGCUCAGGUCGUGAUCCCGAGGUUCGUGGGUUCAAGCCCCACGUCGGGCU